GACCAUAUGUGACGACGGGGAUUGAACUCAGGUCAGCCACAUGCAAGGCAAACGCCCUCCCUUCUGUACUAUCGCUCAGGCCUGGAAGCGUCCUUUUAAAACUCAAGCAAACUGGGUGUUUGUUUUAUAUCCUGUCAGAGGAAACAACA
rnacentral:snoRNA from 1 species